rnacentral:tRNA from 1 species
GACAGUGGCUUAGGAGGUAGAGCAGUCAACUGGAGAUUGGAAGGUCCCUGGUUCAAAUCUGGCUCCUCCUGGCA